GGAAAAUUACAUGAGCUGGUUUACUUUUAAAAUGCGAAAAUGUCACAUUUUUCUCAGCCAGCCGACGAGAAAAACAAGUUGAUAUUUGGCGUCUAAACACGUGACUUGUUUUGCCUAACAACAACCAAUCGCAUGCUCCUAUUUGAAAUACGUCACACAGCGCUACCUUCGAAUAUGAGUCAAAACAGCUGAUAUGUGCAGUGCUGGAACAAGGAGCUUCAAACCUGAUAAAGUGAGACGGCAACCGAAGAAAGACAAAACAUGGAUACAAGAAAUGCAAGAAAAGUGGAGUUGCACACCAUUCAUCCUAACCAACAGCCACCUACUCCAAGUCUGGCCAGGAGAAAGAAGAUACAAGAAACGACUGACAUUAGGAGCCCAACGGACAGCAUGAUGUCUCCAUGUUCGCGAAAGCUCCAUGGGAAACCUGCCAAAGAUAUAAACACAACUCCACAUAUGUCCAGGUAUAAGAGUGUGGACAAAGAAAACGUUCCUCGUGAAUAAACUAACUUUUAAAAGGCCUCAGCCUCCUAACCUCCUGUUACCAACUUAGCUCAUGUACAUUGUUCUCAGUAGCGCUGGUGACCUUUGUUCCUUUCAUUCUCAAAAGAAUCAAAGUUAUUAUUCUUGGCUGUCAGUGCUAGUCUGGAUGCUAAACAGUAAAACCCUGUAACACAAUAGGCAGAGGUACAAAGUGUUAUGGUGGACUAGUUCACUUUAAGCAGUGAAGUUAGGCUGUAAAGCAGCCUAGAGCCUUUUCCGGCAGUUUGAUAGGGCAGGGUGGUGGGAUUAUAAUGGACCGUUGCCUUGGGGGAGCUGUAGGGGUGUACCCUCUGUAAAUAAAUAAAUAAAUUCACUAACCUUUUUGGACCUUUUCACAUCUGAAGGUGGUCAAUCACCUGCCCUCCUCCAACAAACCAUUCCACAUCCCCCAACUAAUUUGCAGUCCUGUAGUCAUAACUUUUUCAAAGGGCUCCACAAGCUAUAACUAAGAUGCAUUUACUAAUGAAGUGGUCACCUAGAAGAUAUUUAAAAGCCUAAGAUAAGAGACAAUCAAAAUGCUCCACACUGUAAAAAGUGCCAUGCAUAGCUCUCUGCACUGUUUUUCUUUUUUUCAAAUGAAUGUACAGUUUUGCACUUUAUCGAUGUCAUGCAGGUGACUUGUGGUUAUGUUACUGUUUUGUGAAUGAACGCUUAUCUGUAAAACCUACAUGAUUAGUAUUGGUCAUGCAUGCUUUUAUGGCAAAUUGUUGUGAAUGUUGUACAGUGUUCUGAAACCAAGAGGCUGUUAUCACAUCUUUUCACUGGUACCUUGUAUUUAAUAAAAAUAAUAGUGUUCUCUCA